CCGGCGACCGGCGCACGGGUGAGUAACACGUAUGCAACCUGGCCGUGACAGAUGGAUAACCGGGAGAAAUCCCGCCUAAUACAACAUAAUGCCGGGAGGGGACAUCCCCUGCCGGCCAAAGGGGGCGACCCCGGUCACGGAUGGGCAUGCGGCGCAUUAGGUAGUUGGUGGGGCAACGGCCCACCAAGCCGACGAUGCGUAGGGGUUCUGAGAGGAAGGUCCCCCACACUGGUACUGAGACACGGACCAGACUCCUACGGGAGGCAGCAG
rnacentral:rRNA from 1 species